AAAAAUGUAAACUUGGGGCGGGGCCACGCGCUGAGUGCUCGUCACUCCAUCGGCCUCUGAGAAGGUCUGAGACUGGGGCCUCCCGAGGCCCUAACCGGGCUCUCCCCGAGAGGGGAGGUGAGUUCCCAGAGAGCAGGGCUCCACGCGUGGGCAAAAAAAGAGAAAAAAAUGUAAACCUGAAGAGGAGCUUCAUAGCUUCAUAGCUUCAGCUAUGACAGCGUGUUUCAUUUCUUCCCAGCGUGCUCCUGGGUUAUACAGUACUUCUUGU
rnacentral:RNase_P_RNA from 14 species